UAGUCGCAGUGCGGCAAAGCAGACGCAUAGAACCAGGCACAAAGCAGCAUAGAUUUUUUUUUUUAUUCUUAUCUUUUUCAUAUGAGGGGAAUAUUCCUGGUGUUAGCGUAGGAACAGACACAGCUUGGAUGUGUUGGCUUCCGCCUGGCAGCAUUUUCAGCUGAGCAGGGAUUGCUCGGAGCUCUGUACCCAAAUUGCCUCUGAGGAAGAACGCCUGAUUUCCCACUUUGCGUACUAAGAGGGUUUUUUUUCCUUUAUGCUAUGGUGAUGUACCUGCAGCAAUAGGACAAAGGAGACGGCACUUGUCACUGUCCGUCCGACUGGGGCCUUUGCAGGUACUCCACGGCCGAAGCAGUGCCAGCAUCCCAGGGUCAGAUAGAUUGGUAAUACAGAUUGCCGCAGUUUCUUACAUCAGUUAGGGCAAAGCUCAAACAAGAAACCAGGCUCUCUGACCUAAAUCAGUCCCAGUCCUUCUGGAUACAGGGCAGCAGUCGACUAGCAAUGACACAACCAGCCAUCAAGUGGAGAGUCUCUGGGAUUGCAAUCUGUAUCAGUUGGAGUCUGAGAGAAUGAAACCCUGUCGGGUAUCCAGUCGCUUCUUCUUCCAAUACUACAAAUACUACAACUGCAACUACUACUACUGCUACUUCUGGUUUUCGUGCCUGUAAGAAGCUAUUAAUUGCGGUUGGUCUCUGCCUGUACAUUUGCGUGGAUUAGUCUGUCUAUAACGCAGUCCUUAUCUGCUCCUGCUGGAAACCGGGGCAUGAAGUCAGCCUGCUUUAACAGUUGUUUCUUUCUGCGUGAUGCUAUGCAGCUAGAAUGGGUUACACUGACAACAAAGGAACAAGCACAAAGCACCACUUUCUUUGCUGGACUGUUACAGGAACAUAGCUCUUCUUCAAUAUGACACCCUGGUCUCUUCUCUUUGCUGGCUUUUUAUUUUUUUUUUAAUUUAAUUCAUCUAAUCGAAGAGCCUAACAGACACCAUCGUGAAUGUGGCUUUUAAUGAUUUGGAAAAGACAGCCUGUGGAGACCGCGAUUCGAGACAGCAACACAUUUAGGUUAUUGCCAAUUUUAAAUACUUGGUUUGUGAAGCACAGCCCUAAGGGACGAGCUCAGUAACUGAGAGAGAGAUUGUAGAUAAAGAAAUAAAAAUGACAAGCGUAAUGGAGGCUCUGCAAAAGAGACUGUCAGAGAAUCAGUUCAUGGAUGGCAAUUUCACCAGUCUGAAUCUGAAUAAUUCAUAGAUUGAAAUUACCCUGCUUUCACCUUUCCAUUUAAACCGGCAUGAUCUGAAUCUCUAAUAAAUUUUCAAGAUAAAGUUAAAUGCCAAUUUGAAUCUGAAGAGCUUUUAAAACCAGAUGCUACACCCUGAAUCUUUCGAUACCUUUCACAAUUAUCCUGUGAGAACCGCACUUCAUCACGAAGCACCAUUACCAGUGAAAAUUACUGUGAUUACAAUAGCAACAAUAGAAUACCAUCAAAUGAUCUCUAAUAUACCUAAUUUACCAAGGCUGACUGUGUGCCCAUUGUGUUUCACCACGUCUGGCAUUGGAUCAAUAUCACAGUGGAACAAAAAUGCCUUAGUGUGUGCUUCCUUUUGGUACCUUUAACUUUGACAGCACGGGAAAAAAUCUACCUGCUGUUAAAUGUUUUUACAGCCAAUCUACAUGCCUGCUGUAGGAUCUGAUUGAUUCUCUAUGAUUUUCUUUAGUUCUUGGGUAUCAGAUGUCUUUGUCUUACUAAUUAGUUUAUAAUAUAUACAAAGACUGCAGCAAGUGAGUGCCAGCACAGGGACCCUGCACUGCUUCUGCAGUUGUAGCACUCUCACUGGGGAAGCCAAAAAGAGUUUGGUGCCUUAUGUGAGUAAUUACUCCUGUCUGAGUUAGAAAUGCUUUGUAGCAUCACCGGUCUUGGUUAUACUAAAUGAAAAGUGUAUGCAAAAGCCAUGGUCAAGAGAAAUUAUUGUGUAUAAUACUAACAAGAUUUUCCCCCAUUCAGCAAUUAGCAUGUGGUUGUGAGAGACAGGCUGUGACUCCUUCUGUGUGUGUGCAUGUGUGUGCGUGUGCAUGUGUGUGUAGGUAUGCAUGCACGUACAUAAAUGUAAAGCUACUGUGCUCUGUGAAUGAAUAUGUGCUCAUCUCUGAAAGUAACAACUUUCUCUGACAAGCCAGGCGCUGUGUUUUGCUGCAAUCUGCUCAGUUGUAACAAAUUCCUCUUCUGAAGGUGUAAAUUUCCUAUAGGAUGAUGUGUGACUUCUGGAACAGUAAGUACCAUUUAUACAAUAUGUUGGUGGCUACAGCUAUGCUGCAGAAUAGUAUUUUAAGCAUAGUUUGAGUCCCUGUAGCAUAACUAGAAUGUGAAUAAGUGAGAAACGUACAGAAGGCUGGAAGCAGGCAUGGAGGCGACUGUAUCUGCUGUUUGUACGUGUGUGAGUUGUGCACUUCACGUUUGUUUUUCAUUUUAUAAUCUGAUUUACUCUGCCUUCAGGGAAUAUUUUCUAAGGAAGGAAGGUAAGCAGUAUUUCUUAUUUCUAUGGCGGUGUUGAAUUUCUGUUAAGGGAAAUGCAUGUUUACAGGACAUAGUUAUAUAAUACAGCAUGAUCUCAUGACAUCUAAUUCAAUGUUUCAAUAUUUUUUUAUGUUAAAACUGAGCAAGAAAGCAUAUUUAAAAUAUGUGUUUUUAUUGAAAAUACACUUCUAAAAAUGCUAUACAAAAACAAUUUACAGGUUUUGUUUGCAUUCAUCUUUUGCUCUUUACUGUUUUUAAAUAAGUGCCUAUUCUGCCUAAAUACUAAUGGUCUUGAAACCUUCGGCUGUUAUAUAUUUUGUCUUUUCAAAACACAAUUUACUGUACUUCUAAAUUUUCUGUAUAUUAGUGGAGACUGUUCUCUAGAGGUAGAAGGGGCAAAAGGUUUUACAGCUUGAGCUGUGAUAACAAAGGAACUUGAAAGGGCACAAAAUAUGAUUAUACAAAAACCUCAAAUUUUAAAUGAUUCAGUAAUGUGAUUUAGCAAAAUGCUGUUCUUAGACAACACACUCUCAAGAUACUACACUCUCUGGAAAUAAUUCGUCCAUUCAGUGCUACAUUUGUAUUCUUCAUUUUCACGUAGUAUUCAAAACUUAACAAAGAAAAAGCUGAGAGUAAAUACCGAAACUGGUAAAAGUGUAACACCUACAUUGUGUUACUGUGGUAAUAAAAUCCAGACAUAUAUACUGAACUUUACUGAAGAGAACUAGUCAUUGUGGUUUAACUAUUUUAUGAAGGGCAUUUUAUGUUUUUAUGUACAGAAAUAUAACAUAUACUGAUAUAACUACUAUUCUGCAAGUACCAUGCAAACAGAAAUGUGAAUAUUUUGCAAAAAAUAUACAAGUACCUGACAGCAUUGGCAGUAUUAUCAUUACUGCCACACUCCUCCAGUAUCAUAUAUUGCAUUGAAAUCAUGGUCUGUUAACCAACUGGAUUUCACUAGGUAUUUACAACCCUAAUUUUUUUAUCAGUCAUAUCUGCUGCAACAGCCUGUAGAAAGCAGCCAUGUGAUGCAAGGUGUCCUCACUAACAAGUGCAGAGCAAAGCCAAGGGAGACCUCACAAGCUAUUGGUGGCUUCACACAAGGGCCUGAUCCAAAUCCUUCUGUGGAACUGUGCUGGAGUCCUCUAACUUUGUGUUUCUGUUAUAGAGCUCUAAGCAUGCUGCUGGCAUUCUCCCACUGCUCCAUACUGGCCUCACAUUCCAAAACAUGCAGUGCUGUCAGGUCAGGCCUAAUGCUGUUUGCCAGUGAGAGCUCCUGCAGGAUUUGCCAGACACUGUUAGGACAGCACACUCAGGAGGUGAGAGUAUCCAUGAGACUCUGCUAAAAGUAGUCUGGAAAAGUUUGGAAACCUUGGGAAGCGAGUUCUGCCGUUUGGGGUGAUGUGUGUUUCAAAGGUAGCAGGAUUUCAGUCUGUCAGCAGGAUACACUACAAGUGCAAAUGGAGAAAAAAGCCUUUAAACUUUUCCAGAUGCAGGGUUGUGAAGAGAAGAUUAGCAAAAUUACUUAAUAGAAAGUAUUAAAAUGUAGUGAAGUUAUAUCAUCCAUAUAUGUUCUGUAUUUUCUAUCAGAUAGCUAUAGCUGAAGUGUUUAGUAUUUAUUAUUGUAUGUGUCAAAAUAAAUGGCAGACUGCAACAUGAAACUUCUAACAUAAGGCCACUAAUUACAGCAAUAGGGAUUCAACAGUUAAUAUACAUCAUAUCAAAAGAUGUAUUAGUCUGGUUUUAUGCCUGUUUUUCAUUGUUUUACACUUGUCUAUAAAUCAAUCUGCUAUGGCGAAGGAUGGACAAAACCCUUCUUGACGUGAGUUCCCAACUAAACACAGCUAUCCGCUUCAGUAAAAAUACUCCGAUGCAUUUGGUAGGCCCUCAUCUGCAGCUAGGCAGCUACCAUGAUGCAACCACACACAUGAAAAACAUAUUGGAGCCCAUUCUAUUACCACAGAAUUUAAUAACAAGUCUCCCUGUGCCAUCAACAUAAACGAUAGAUCCGUUAAUUUCCUUCCAUUACAUCCUUUUUGUGAAAGUUGCUGCUAUUUUGUUGGGUUUUUUUCUCCCUGCUUACAACAGUCACAAAUAGUUGACAUAAUGCUGAAGAGAAGAUCCUUUCUGUUCACCAGGACACAAGACCUGAGCCAAACAUACACUGAAAUCAACAUCUCAGGAUAGGUUUAUUUGACAACUGAAAAGACCUUCUCAUCUGUAGUUGAUAAUAUUUGUGCUCACUUUCUUGUCAAUUCUGCAUUAUCAUCUGCUAUAAAACACACAAGUUCUGAUCUGUAAUGGUUGUACCUAUUGGGACAAGAGCCCUGAGGAUAGGGGGUCUGUUGUGGGUUUCAUUGCGGUUUUUUGUCACUGUUCUGUUGCUUUGAAUUAAUUGCAACUGCCUAUGGAAAUAUGAUCCCUUAAGAAUGUACAGAAAUACAUUAUUAAUGAUUAUGUAUGAAGAAUUGCUAGAUUCCCCUGCAUUCUGGCUGCUAUGAAUUUCACACCAUCAUCCCCAAAGAAAAAACGUUAGGGAGAAAGUAAGACCAAUGUAACUUGAAAUUAGAGCAGCAGCAUUUCCAAAACAAUCAUUUUUGACACAGGAAAUUCACAGUUAAACAGAAGAACAUCUAAGUGAUUCACUGACACAAUUAAAAUACCUGAGCAGCUCUCUUUGUCUUUGAUGUCAUAACUUCAGGAUGUGAUAGAGGUAAACAAUUUGCCAUGUCAGGUUAUAUACAGAUAUAUACAGAUAGGAUCAAAACCCACCUUUGGUUUUAAAAGUAUUUGCACUGCAUUUCAAUGUAUUGGUUUAGUUUCUUUAUGGACUAUAAAUGUACACCUGCUCUGUGCUUUUAGCUGUGUAACAUAACCAGAAGUUCUGAAAAUCAAAUUAUUUCUGACAAACUAAAAGAGGGAAAUGAAAUCCUAAAUGGGAAUUGCAGAAGAAGCAAUGGGUUUCCCAGGUCUCAUGCCAACAGAGAUUCUUGCUGGGGAUUUUCCAGGUCAGGUUAGACUUCUUAUUGUGUUAGAACUUGUUCUUAAAAAAAACCCUAUAGUUAAAAAUGAGCGGGAAUUCAAACCAUGGCCAAAGUUUUGCCCAAAACCAUAAGGGAUUUUUUUUUCUUUUCUAACUACAUUUGACAUUAUUUCUUCCACAGGCCUUGCCUCAAAGUUUAUCAAGAGACUCUGUUCAAAAUAAUAUUUGCAAUACUAUAUUUGGUAAUGCAAAGUGAAGCACACACAACAAAUUAGCAGCUGUGUGCUAAACUGGGAAAUGUUAAAAUAGAAAAAAAUAUAAAUUGAUAGAUUAUGGUGUUACCACUAUACUGUUUACUUAUAGUCAAUACUUCACAGAGAUAGUGCAGAAAUAAAUGUACAGCUAAAUUAUACAGUUACACUCAGUGAAAUGCUCAGUAGAAAAGCCUUAUAUUGUACUCACCUGUUUCUGUUUCUUCUGCCUAUGUUCAUUCAAAACCCACCUCCAGUGGCACAGCAGUCACAACAACUGGCUACCCCUCAAACCUGCAGGUGCUCUGGACUGUGCUGCUGCUGGAGAAGUGCUGGAGAACUGCUCUCAAAGGCCUAAAGAAGACACUGAAAGAGAUUUAAAGGUUAGCUUUCAUCACUGCAGAUACAGCUACAAGUAUUUAUUUGAAGUUUUCUUUCUUUCUGAACUGCCAGAGCCUCUCAAGGUACAUUUCAGGUAAGGUCAAUCCAUCAAUCAAAUGCAAAGGCACUAGGGAAACAUAUUUUAAAAUGACAAAUACUUUUUGGUAGCACUCUCUCAGAUUACUUCCCCAAAUUUGGCUUUUUGCAGUUAGCAUGCCUCAUGCACCAUCCUGCCCGCUCCCCAUAUGUCUCUAUGUCAUUAUUAAUGCGUACUGCAGCUCCACAAAGGUGUUCUGGGUGGAACUUGGCCCAGAGACCUUGACUGGAGGGAAACUGUAAACCCUGGCCUCUCUGGAAGGGCAGUGUUCCUACUCUCCUGCUCCAAACCCUGCCAUGGGCGGCUGAGCAUCCCGGGCAGCGUCGUCCCGUGCAGCACAAGGCCAGGGCAGCCACCAGGACACUGCCAGAAAACACGCCAGGCUCAGCCCCACAGGUUGAGUUACUGACACUCGCCAGCUGCUCCUUGUGCAGAAGAACUUCAGCACCUUCCUCUUGCCUUACAAGUACAAGUAUUGUAAAUAAUACAAUUAAGGCAGUAAAUAAAGGUAGUGUGCUGAGAGAAAAAGAAAAAUCUUCUGUUUUUAAACUUCACUCACAACAACUUGCAAAAGGUAGAUGGUCACAUAAUUUUAAAUUAAAGUUAAAGUUAUUGGGAGAAAAAAGAAUCCACAGACACAGUACAUGCAGCAGACCGUGAAAGCCAUCUGACCUGUCAUUUGAAUCCUUCUGUAUCAAAGAACCAUGUUAACAAUAACUGUAAUGAAUUUAGACUUAUUAUGCAUGCAUGAACAAUAAAACCCCAAAAAAAUCUACUAUGGUAGCACUUGAGGUUAAGAAAAGGAAGGUGGAAGCUUGUAAAAGAUGUAUCAAGAAUGACAAGCCCAAGAGGAAGAUACCUCCCAGCAGCUCAAGGACUUAGAGUAAACACCGAAAAAGCUGCUGUGGUUACAGAGGUAGUUUAUUUCCAAAGAUUCCAUCCCUCACAAAGUUUAAGGUGAAAAUGAGAAAUAAACCAUAAAGUGAUUGUAUGCCCAAAAAGAAAUUGACAGGCAUCACAAACUUUUAGUUAAUACCUUCCUGUAGUAAGCAAGACACCUGUCAAAGAAUGCUGCAGUAGAUUGCUAAGAUACAAAGGAGCACAGAGGAGAAGGUCCUGCCAGUGAGCUGCAGGAAUUCUUUGCCUCCCUGUUUGCUCUAAACUCAAGGAGGUUCCCUUGUUGUGACCCCUUUAUACAGCAUACAUUGGGGACAUGAUUGAAAAUUAUAUAUCAGUUUGUUUCUCCCUAAGAAAGAGAAAAUAGAAGAAAUAGAAAUCUAAGUUGUAACAAUUUCAAAGGAUAACAAAAACUAGGAUUAGUUUAGAUGGCAAAGAGAACAUAAAGUGAAAUCUCUAAAAUCAAGAGUAACAACAAAAGGUCUAAUAGGGAAUGGAAGAUUUUUGUGGCAUAGGAAGCAGUGAAAAAGGAUACAUCAAAUCAUUAUCUACUUUAAAACAAAGGAAACCAAAAGUAUUUCUUCCUACCGACUGGUGGUAAUUUGGAGCCUCCUUGCUGCAAAAGGCUGUGGUUUACAGAACUUGAUGUGAGUUAGACCUCCUGGACAAACUCAUCCAUUGUCACUUGUUAAAUAGAAAGAUUCUACCUCUGACUUUGAAAGUCAGAUUGCUAGAAGUUCAUAAUAAAAGGCAGGUAGGUAUAAGCAAUCACUACAUGAUUGUCAUUUUAUAAUGAUCUUCAGUAAUCACCCUCUGUUUUUGACCACUUUUCAUCACUUUUGGAGCCAGAAUACUAGGCUAGUUGGAUCUUUUUCAGCCUGAGCUGGAAAAUUAUUAAAUAUAAAAUGUUCUUUCAUAUUUGUUCUGUAAAAGAAAUCCUCACAUAGUAUGAACUACCCAGGAUUCACCCACUUCUGUAGAUCUGUAACAAGUCACAGCAGCUGAGAACCCGCUCAGAACACUCCACGUUGGCUGACACAGCAAAACUGGAAACCCAGCUUUACAAAGCACAGUUUUCAGGGAGCUCAUUGCACACAAGAGUGUCAAUUGACCAUUUACUGGGCUUCCUGUGCACUGACCUCUACCAAAAGGGAAAGAGAAAAGAGAAGCAAGGAGAGCACAGAGUCUGCAGCCCCCCUUUUCCUGCAGCCCUUUGCUCUCAGGGGAUUUUCUAGGAUUUACAUAAUACAGUGAUGAAGUGAGACUGGGACACUGUGGGACCUUCAGCUUUUAUUUUCAUGGAUUGUUUUAUUAGAAGACUUGGCUGAAAUAUUCUGUUCCCUUUUUCCCAAGAAAAUAUCCCUGAUGGUAAAUGCUUCUUCUACAAUACUUUACAGUGAAAUCUCUGAGACUUACAUAGCUCACACCUAGCUGUCCCACCUAAACUUUCUUUCACUCCAAUCUCUAGGUCAAAUAACUACAUCAAAUAAUAUAAAUAAUACACGAUUCAUAGAAAACACUUUGCUUUGAACAAAAAUGCAAUAUUUUUUUUUUGCAUUUUCAACCACUGAAGCAGAACUUCAGUCAUUUAAUAAACACCAUAACUUGAAGUUAACCAGUAAUUUUUUUUCAGGACAUACACAGAGAGAGAAUUUUUCUGUUGUAAUGCAAUUCCCUAUGAUUCAUAGUUAACAACUAGUUUGUUUUCUUUAUAACCUUGAGAAAAAUACAAAAGGUAUUUCAUUAUUUUAUUAGAUAUGUAAACAUGCAAACGUUUCCUGUUGCUUUAAGGAAUGACUUCUGUAAGCAGUUAUCUGUAGUACAUCUAAAUUAAAUCGCCAUGUUAGAAGGAAGAGAAGCCAUUUUGUAUUCAGUCAUUAAACAGAAUCAGGAACAGUUGCUAAAAUAAUGUAUCCCCAUUAUUCAUUACUACUAUGCUUCACUUGUAGGAAUAGAUACCUGAUAAGAAUUGUACCAGAACUAAAGAUGCUAAUGAAUGAUUAAAAGCUAAGGAGCAGAUGCAAAGGGCAAGUAGAACAAGAACACCUCAUUUCUUUUUUUUCUGAGAAUACGUGUUCUACUUCAUUCUCUUCCACUGAGUUUUGGUUUCUGAUCUCUACGAUACAAUGGACUGAACUAGUACUGGAUUUGGACUCUUUCCAAUUUUGUGGAAAGCUGUCUUUCUUAAAUUGUGACAAAAUAAUCAAAAACUUGACAAAUUUUGUUAACUAAGAGUAAUAAUAAUGUCAAAAAUGUCAAUAGAAAUAUUCCAUUUAGGUGAUCUUCAAAGCAUUUCAUCUGUACUUAUGUCUUAUAACUAAAAGCUAUUUCACAGGAAACCAAAAUCUUUAAAUUGAUGUGUCAAAAUCUUGUUUUAUAAAAACUAAUUUUUCAUGGCCUUGAAAUCUCAUUUGACCUAUUUCUGGCAAAGUUUUGGCUAAGACAAAUAGAGGCAUUUUUGGAUGAAACUCAUUUUGUCAAAAAAGCUCCAAGGUAGCUCUGCUGUCCAUGAUAGUCUGUACAAAUAUCACAGGAAACUUCUGGUAUACGCAAAGGCUUAAUCAGCUGGAACUUGACUAACACGCAGACACGUAUCUAACUGAUCCCCAGCUGACUAGGAAAUCUGUGUCCCAUAUGCUGUUUAAAAAGGGAGGUCAUAAAAUUUAAUUAGUCAGGAGAAAGAAUUGGAGCUUGGUUUCCUGGGACGUUUAUUUGUUUGGUUUUGAACCUUUUUUAUGCCUAUUCAAACCCCAUAUAUUCACCUAAUCCACAGAUUGCUCUCCUGCUCACAAGGUUUGUAUCUUGCACUAUCUAAAUUCACUGAGAAUUUUAUUUGCAUACCAAGAAUUCAGGCCACAGAGAAGCCACCUUGAGAACUCAGGAGAUGAGUAAACCCAUUAUGGACACACAUGCUAGACUGCCUGGGAAAUUAGCACACAGUCAUUUAUACCACAAAUGAAUACUUCACCAAAUCAGUGUCUUUCAGUCACAGCUGUCAGCAAACUCCUUGUUUUCUUUUUGUUCCUAGCGAAAAGGCACAAUUUUAGGUAGGAAAUCAAAGCUCCCUGACUCUUCACAGGUAAAUUUGCACAGAUCUUUUGUAAAAAGCUCACAGACCUCCUGAAUCCAUGGACCACAUGUGCAAAGCAGCACCAGCACUACAAACUUGCUUCCACAUAGAAAAUCAUCACAGUGCACAAAGACCGUGAAGUACCUUGAUACUGCUUUCAAAAAAUCCAUUUAUUUCAAAUUUAACUAUUCUUUGAUUACAAACACAGACCUAUGUUUCUAAGUGACUUGUCCAAGUGACAAGGGGAGAGCCUGGAUUAUGAUUAGAAAGCUGGUUGAUUACCUAAUCCCAUAGUCCUGUGUUUUCUGGUUCCAAUUCCAGGUAUUUUGCCAAACCAAUCUGAGAAAAUUUUCCUCCUGCUCAAUGAAGAAUUGUGAUGGUGGUGCAAAAUAGAAAUCUUGGGCAUAAUGAAGUGCUCAUGGCACCAGCAGAGACUUCGACUUUACACUUAAGCCUUAUUAAGGCUUGGUUACUUUUUAGAGUGGUAGGAAAGCAAGCAAAGAGCCUGAUGUGCUCUGCCAGAGCAGCUUUGUCAAGCCCUGCAGGGGCAGUCCAGGGGAUUACCAGCCGCAGCUGCCUGCCCUCGGCAGGGCGGGAUGCCAGCCCCCAGCUGCUCCCCUUGUUCUCCUGACUGCAGAACAUGCACAAACACACUUGGGUCUCCUUAUGACAUCUGCAUUUAAAAAGCAAGAGGAAAAUUCAGGGCUGGGAAAAGACCAUCUCCCUGAUGGCAGGGCACAAACAGCUGUCCUCUAGCAAAUCUAACCACAGUCAUCCCUGCACUGAACCAGGAGUGAGAGUCAGCUCAGGCUAAAAAUAAUCAGACCUUUUUUGGGAGUAUGGCAGGGCAGGAGCCAGGUUCUUGGCCCCAUAAACAAUUUUACAAGAGCUAAAGGAGGGCAUAGGCUGGGAAUGAGCAGCUGGGGGCUGUUAAGAUGUCAUUGUCAGUGAAUGGCACCGCUUCCCUGAAUUUUCACUAUAACAGAGCUUGAGUGUUCAGAUAAUCAGCCACGACAUCUGAGAUAUGGGAGCAGAUGGGCCAAUACCUGCUUAGAGUGCUCUAGUUUGAGUCACUGAAAAGGACAUCUGCCUCUGCUCUCAGGCCGGGUGCCUCAGCAGCCCCACUGCAGCUGGGCAGCAUCUUCUGUGUGUUUGUGAGCGGGUAUUUCUCAGAAGCCUGUACUCUUAGAGCUAUUUUGUAUGAAUAUUCACAGGGCAGCCAAAACCCCUCCUGCUGCUAAAAUGUACUGAAUAUUGAGCCUUUGUUGCAACACAGGAAGGUACCACAGCUCCCCAGAGAAACAGUUGCAAGAAUGUUUUGAAGAUGCCAAACCCAGCAACCUUUUCCCUUAGCCUAGUUCAACAAAAUAUUAGUAUCUGAAACUUUUUACUCUGAGGCACACAAGCGUUCCAGACUACAGCCUUUAGAAUGAAAACUUAGCCCAGUUAGUGACAUCUGAAAUU